ensembl:misc_RNA
GGUGCAUGCCUGAUCCGCCUGACUGCUGCCCCGGGUGCUGGGCUGAGGCUGGCACAUGGCACUCCGCUAACCCAAAGUGACACAUGCCUGGCGGGCCCGUCAGUCUCUACAAC